GGAGAUUGUAUUAACACUCUCUUUUCAUGUGAUUGUCAGCUGGAUUGGACCCCAUUCAGAAACUUUUCCUAGAUUCAAUCCGCGCAUACUCCACAAAAAGCGGUGCCGCUGGUGGUCUAGUUGAUGCCGGUUCAGAAUAUCAGAAGGCUCUUGCUGAGGAAAUAACUAAACUGCAGCGGUUGUACAGUGGUGGUGAUCUGUCUUCCUUCCCUGAGUUCAAAUUCCCUGAGCCUAAAUUUGAUGAAGUGUCCUCCAAGUAAACUUCUGAUCCACUCCUGUGCCUCAGUGCAGUUUUGUGAAAGAAGUCUACUGUGUGAAGUCUAAGUGACUUUAAUCUGUAAAAGUG